GACGAACGCUGGCGGCGUGCUUAACACAUGCAAGUCGAACGGAAAGGCCCUGCUUUUGUGGGGUGCUCGAGUGGCGAACGGGUGAGUAACAAGUGAGUAACCUGCCCUUGACUUUGGGAUAACUUCAGGAAACUGGGGCUAAUAACGGAUAGGAGCUCCUGCUGCAUGGUGGGGGUUGGAAAGUUUCGGCGGUUGGGGCUGGACUCGCGGCUUAUCAGCUUGUUGGUGGGGUAGUGGCUUACCAAGGCUUUGACGGGUAGCCGGCCUGAGAGGGUGACCGGCCACAUUGGGACUGGGAUACGGCCCAGACUCCUACGGGAGGCAGCAGUGGGGAAUAUUGCACAAUGGGCGGAAGCCGGAUGCAGCAACGCCGCGUGCGGGAUGACGGCCUUCGGGUUGUAAACCGCUUUCGCCUGUGACGAAGCGUGAGUGACGGUAAUGGGUAAAGAAGCACCGGCUAACUACGUG
rnacentral:rRNA from 1 species